UGAAGUGUUCUUCAGAAACGAUUGCCAAUUAAAUCAGUUCGUGCUAAAGCUAUUCAUUUCAAUUGUGGCCUAAUUGUCACGCGCCUAUUUUAAGACCGCCAUCAAAUUUUAUUUGCAUAUUUUCAUUCAAGUUUUAAUGCUGCUGGCAGAUUUCAAUGAGAAUUGUUUGGGAAUAUUGUAAUUAAAUUUUAUGUAUAAAACCAAAUGUUGUCAAAUGCAUUGAGGAGUAUGUCAUGGAAGUGUUUAUUUUGGAGUUCCAAGGAGACCGACAUGAAUGAAUGGAAAUGGAGCCGCCAGCCUUAACGUUCAUUCGGUAGUAAUUAUGUUUUCAACCCCCGGCAUUGUGGACGUCAUUCACCCUCUAUUCCUGGGUUUCACUCGUGAAUGAAACGGAGACUAGAAACAUUUUUUCAAAAUCUUCAACUCAUCCACGGAACUUAUAUAAUUAUAAAAGCGAUAGCUUCGAUAUGCAAGAAAGAUACAUACAUAUAUGUACAUAUAAUUC